rnacentral:rRNA from 1 species
AAUCAACGCUGGCGGCGCGCUUAACACAUGCAAGUCGAACGAGAAAGGGUAGCAAUACCUGAGUAAAGUGGCGUACGGGUGAGUAACACGUGGAUCAUCUACCUUUUAGUGGGGAAUACCUCUGGGAAACUGGAGACAAUACCGCAUAAGUCUGAAAAGAGAAAGCAGCAAUGCGCUGAAAGAGGAGUCCGCGGCUGAUUAGCUAGAUGGUGGGGUAAUGGCCACCAUGGCGAAGAUCGGUAGCCGGCCUGAGAGGGCACACGGCCACACUGGCACUGAAACACGGGCCAGACUCCUACGGGAGGCAGCAGUGGGGAAUCUUGCACAAUGGGGGCAACCCUGAUGCAGCGACGCCGCGUGAGUGAUGAAGCUCUCGGAGUGUAAAGCUCUUUCGACGGGAACGAUAAUGACGGUACCCGAAGAAGAAGCUGCGGCUAACUACGU